CAGCCGCCGAAAAGAUUACAAGAUCAAGUCAAGACAACAGAAUACAAAAAAAAACUUGCCGAUCAAGGAACUGAGUGGAAAUUCAUACCCAACCGUGCACCGUGGUUUGGAGGCUUUUGGGAACGCCUAAUUGGACUCACGAAAAAGUCAAUUAAAGCAAUACUAGGAAAGUCAUGUGUCACUACGGAAAUGUUGAAUACAAUUAUAAUCGAAAUCGAGGGAGCUCUAAACAAUCGUCUUAUAACUCACAUUUCUACUGAUAUUAAAGAUCCCGAACCGCUGACGCCAGCGCACCUUUUAUAUGGUCGUCGACUUGACAACCAAUCGGAACAGAAUAUUGACAGUGUUACUUCCGAAGAUUUGCACCUGAAACUGAAUAAAAAUUUACAGAGAAAUAAUGAACUAAUCAACACAUUUUCGCUCAAGAUGGAAACACGAAUAUCGGACGUCACUCCGUGAAUUCCACCGUACAUCUGGAAGAAACGAACACACAAUACAAAUAGGUGACAUUGUACAAGUACACAAUGACACAAAUCGUAUAUUGUGGAAAUUAGCAGUUGUACAAGAUUUAGUUCGUGGAAAGGAUGGACUCAUUCGAUCAGCUGUUAUCAAGACCGACACAGGAAUCACCAACCGUCCGAUUGUGAAGCUCUAUUCGUUGGAAAUACACAGUAAAAAUGAUGACAGUAAAUGAACUUUUCUGCCCUGGAGAAAUUAGUUUAUGUAUAGACUGUUCAAUUAACUCCGGUUAUUAUAUAGACUUGUAAAAGUGUUAAAUUAUUCAGACGUGAACAGUUAAAAAAUAUUGAGAGACUUUUAAUAUGAUUUUAUUUCAUUUUUAUGUCACAAUUGAUCAGACAUUUAAUUUCAAAUUUACGAAUUUUUCAUAUUGUAUUUCAAAUUUGAGUUAAAUAUCAUUUUCUGCGGCCCCAGAAUGUAAAGAAUUGCGCUAAUA
rnacentral:lncRNA from 1 species